rnacentral:rRNA from 1 species
AUUGAACGCUGGCGGCAUGCCUUACACAUGCAAGUCGAACGGUAACAGGUCUUCGGAUGCUGACGAUUGGCGAACGGGUGAGUAAUACAUCGGAACGUGCCCGACCGUGGGGGAUAACGAGGCGAAAGCUUUGCUAAUACCGCAUACGAUCUACGGAUGAAAGCGGUGGAUCUUCGGACCUCGCGCGGACGGAGCGGCCGAUGGCGGAUUAGGUAGUUGGUGGGAUUAAAGCUUACCAAGCCGACGAUCUGUAGCUGGUCUGAGAGGAUGAUCAGCCACACUGGGACUGAGACACGGCCAAGACUACUAAGGGAGGCAGCAGUGGGGAAUGGUGGACAAUGGGCGAAAGCCUGAUCCAGCCAUGCCGCGUGCAGGAUGAAGGCCUUCGGGUUGUAAACUGCGUUUGUACGGAACGAAAAGCCUCUUUCUAAUAAAGAGGGGUCAUGACGGUACCGUAAGAAGAAGCACCGGCUAACUACGUG